UACGUAGGUGGCGAGCGUUGUCCGGAAUUACUGGGCGUAAAGGGUGCGCAGGCGGACUAUUAAGUGGGAUGUGAAAACCCAAGGCUUAACCUUGGGACUGCAUUCCAAACUGGUAGUCUUGAGUGCAGGAGAGGAAAGCGGAAUUCCACGUGUAGCGGUGAAAUGCGUAGAUAUGUGGAAGAACACCAGUGGCGAAGGCGGCUUUCUGGACUGUAACUGACGCUGAGGCACGAAAGCGUGGGGAGCAAAC
rnacentral:rRNA from 1 species